CAAAAUAAAUCGAGCCAGGAGCAAAAUGCCGACAGCUUGGAAGAGAUAUCUUUGGGUUAAGAAAUUGUUCGUUGUUUUCAUCUGUUGGAUGAACAAAACUUCAGGUAUCAACUUCUACUGUUCCGGAGGCCUUCGCGACCAGACGAAUAUUUACGGAAAUGGAGGAAAGCAGAGAUUUCAUUUCGUCAAAGCUGGAUCAUCCGGCUUCGUAAACCCAGUGGACAUAGCAUGGACAUUUCCCGGUAAGCUUGUGGAUAGUAACAAAAAACGACGACAAAAAGGAACAUCUCAAGGAACGUCCCCCAACUCUCUGGCAUGUGUGUUCUGGGGGCUGUGCAAUUAUUAUCUUUGAAGCUUUAAUAAAUUAUCCUAAAUCUGCCAAAAAA